GCUCAGCCCUAAACAUGGAUAAUUAACACAACAAAAUUAUCUGCCAGAGAACUACUAGCAAUAGCUUAAAACUCAAAGGACUUGGCGGUGCUUUACACCCCUCUAGAGGAGCCUGUUCUAUAAUCGAUAAACCCCGAUACACCUCACCACUUCUAGCUAAAUCAGUCUAUAUACCGCCAUCUUCAGCAAACCCUCAAAAAAGGAAGGAAAGUAAGCACGAUAAUAAUACAUAAAAAAGUUAGGUCAAGGUGUAACCUAUGAAGUGGGAAGAAAUGGGCUACAUUUUCUAAUCAAGAACACACUCACGAAAGUCUUUAUACGAAAUCUAGAGACUAAAGGUGGAUUUAGUAGUAAAUUAAGAAUAGAGAGCUUAAUUGAAUAGGGCCAUGAAGAAG
rnacentral:rRNA from 1 species